CUCGCUUCUCGGCCUUUUGGCUAAGAUCAAAUGUAGUAUCUGUUCUUAUCAGUUUAAUAUCUGAUAUGCCCUCUAUCUGAGGACAAUAUAUUAAAUCAAUUUUUGGAGCUAGGAGUUGGAAUAGGAGCUUGCUCCGUCCACUCCACACAUCGGCGUGGUAUUGCUGUACCUCCAGGAAUGAUGCACCCUCU